GCAGUGGGGAAUCUUAGACAAUGGGCGCAAGCCUGAUCUAGCCAUGCCGCGUGAUCGAUGAAGGCCUUAGGGUUGUAAAGAUCUUUCAGGUGGGAAGAUAAUGACGGUACCACCAGAAGAAGCCCCGGCUAACUCCGUGCCAGCAGCCGCGGUAAUACGGAGGGGGCUAGCGUUGUUCGGAAUUACUGGGCGUAAAGCGCACGUAGGCGGAUCGGAAAGUCAGAGGUGAAAUCCCAGGGCUCAACCUUGGAACUGCCUUUGAAACUCCCGGUCUUGAGUUCGAGAGAGGUGAGUGGAAUUCCGAGUGUAGAGGUGAAAUUCGUAGAUAUUCGGAGGAACACCAGUGGCGAAGGCGGCUCACUGGCUCGAUACUGACGCUGAGGUGCGAAAGCGUGGGGAGCAAACAGGAUUAGA
rnacentral:rRNA from 1 species